UACGGGGGGAGCAAGCGUUGUUCGGAUUUACUGGGCGUAAAGGGCGCGUAGGCGGCCAGUGCAAGUCAGUUGUGAAAUCUCCGAGCUUAACUCGGAAAGGUCAACUGAUACUGCUCGGCUAGAGUCCGGAAGAGGAGAGUGGAAUUCCUGGUGUAGCGGUGAAAUGCGCAGAUAUCAGGAAGAACACCCGUGGCGAAGGCGGCUCUCUGGGACGGUACUGACGCUGAGACGCGAAAGCGUGGGGAGCGAACAGG
rnacentral:rRNA from 1 species